rnacentral:lncRNA from 1 species
CUGAAGAGUUCUGUCGCCAGGGAAACGUCAUCCAGUUGAUUCCACACCACCACAGCCCUGCUCCCACCACCCUCUGCCUGGUCUGGUCGCUGAUCUGCCCAGACAAUGCAGGGUUUCACUCUGAGAGACAGAACCUGUCUGUUUUUUCCUCGUUUGCCUUCCCUUUUUCCAUCCCCCUGGAGGCUGAGCAGGGAAAGUCACAGCUUUUCUUGCUGACUGACAUCUCCGGAUCAAAAGAAAACAGAAUCUUAGAAUGUCGCUGGCAGAGAGGGCCCGCUCAAGUCUAAUAUGGCCCUGUCACUCUACAGUGGUGACAACUGUGGCUACAGGGACCCUGAACAUUAUGGCUGGAUUCCACCCCAGCUUAAUUCCAGGCCAGGAGGAGCCCAGCUGGGGUAUUAUUCAUUUGGAAGGUCCUGAAGCUAAAAAAGCUGCAGUAGCUCAUGUGCCCAUCCUGGCCAACGGCCUCGGCAGCGGUCAUGUCCAUGCCUGGUGCAGCACAUCAGGCUCCAGCCCUGGCCCCAAGCGCUCCACCUGAAGGCCUCGGACAUCACACCUGCCUGGUCAUGGAUCAUAAAAUGUCCGAGCUGGGAAGGGAUAAAGGAAGUAUCUAGUUCCACCUGCUCUCCUAACAGGUGUGGAAAUACAGAUCAAGAGGGGAAUAAGAACUUGCCUGAUGCCACCCAGAUCGUUUACUUUAUAGACGUGCACCUUGAACUCAGGGAUUUUGGAGCCUGGGUCACAUUAGAAUAGUUUUCUCUACUCUUCAUUUCGUUUUGGAAGCAAAAACUAGCCUUACUCUAGAUAAUUUGGGUCUGCCACAGUACAUGUGACUUUCUCAAGGGAUAAUUUGGUUGGGUACUACAAGAGACCCAAAUAACAUUUGAGGUCUUUGGGGGCUUGGUUAUGCUGGGAGUGGGUAACCCCAACAUGUCAGCAAUUCCAGCCAAGGUCCCUUCAGCCAAAAUAACUGCAUGUCUUUAUUAUUAUUAUUAUUGAUUUAUUCAUGAGCAGCUCAAAGAGAGCCUGAUGCAAGACUCGAUCCCAGGAUUCUAGGAUCAUGACCUGAGCCAAAGGCAGAUGCUCAACCACUGAGCCACCAGGAGCCCCAUAACUGCAUGCUCUUAAGAUGUCAGAUCCCUACAGAAAAUUACUGUUGUUUUUAACUUGGAGACACUCCAUCUAGCUUUAUGCAAGAAAUAUGCUUCUAAAAACUCAUCUAUCUAAUGAAAAUUGAUGCAUAAAUGCUCUGAGUCCAAAUAUCCUUUUAAAAUAUUCACACUAGAGGUAGCCAUAGUUGCAGCUAUGGUGGAAGAAGCAUCCACACUUAACACAAACCGGUUUGGGUUUUUUUUUUUAUGAAAUUACAUUUUUUCAUUGACUUUCCAUUAUAAUUCCCACGAAGCAUUAAUGCCUCUUCAUCCCUGAUUGAUCUUUAACUGGUGGUGGCUUUUAACACUUUGGCUUUUUGGUUUCCUACUCUCCCUCCCUAAAAUAGGCAGUAUGGGAUCUAUCAGGACACAUUUACACACCCAGGA